UGCCAUAUCGCUCCUCGAACGUCUGACGC
rnacentral:piRNA from 1 species